rnacentral:rRNA from 1 species
GAUAAACGCUGGCGGCGUGCAUUAGACAUGCAAGUCGAACGGGUGUCUCGGGCUUGCCCGAGACGCUAGUGGCGGACGGCUGAGUAACGCGUAGGUGACCUGCCCCGAAGUGGGGAAUAACUGCCCGAAAGGGUGGCUAAUACCGCAUGUGAUCGUUCAUUCGUUUGGUCGAUCAAAGCAGCAAUGCGCUUCGGGAGGGGCCUGCGUCCGAUUAGCUCGUUGGUGGGGUAAUGGCUCACCAAGGCGACGAUCGGUAGGUGGUCUGAGAGGACGAUCA